GGGAGAGGAAGGAGGAGCGGGAGGAGCCCGCCGCUCCUAAAUCCGCAGCAGCCGAAUCCUCCUUGAGCGUGGAAGAAACCAAUAAACUCCGGGCCAAGCUGGGGCUCAAACCACUGGAAACCAGCACGGUGAAGAAAGAGGCGGGCACCAAGGAGGACCCGGUGGCGGCCGAGGUGAUCAAUCCCCUGGCGCUGCGGCAGCGCGAGGAGAUCCGCGAGAAGCUGGCGGCGGCCAAGGAGAAACGGCUGCUGAACCAAAAACUGGGG